GAUGAACGCUGGCGGCGUGCUUAACACAUGCAAGUCGAACGGAAAGGCUCCUGCUUGCAGGGGUACUCGAGUGGCGAACGGGUGAGUAACACGUGGGUGAUCUGCCCUGCACUUCGGGAUAAGCCUGGGAAACUGGGUCUAAUACCGGAUAGGACGAUGGUUUGGAUGCCAUUGUGGAAAGUUUUUUCGGUGUGGGAUGAGCUCGCGGCCUAUCAGCUUGUUGGUGGGGUAAUGGCCUACCAAGGCGUCGACGGGUAGCCGGCCUGAGAGGGUGUACGGCCACAUUGGGACUGAGAUACGGCCCAGACUCCUGCGGGAGGCAGCAGUGGGGAAUAUUGCACAAUGGGCGCAAGCCUGAUGCAGCGACGCCGCGUGGGGGAUGACGGCCUUCGGGUUGUAAACUCCUUUCGCUAGGGACGAAGCGCAAGUGACGGUACCUGGAGAAGAAGCACCGGCUAACUACGUG
rnacentral:rRNA from 1 species